rnacentral:sRNA from 2 species
AUAAUCUUGUGACUCCUCUCGAAUCAGGACAAUUCUGCCGACCAACCUACUCAACAUAGUCAUACCAUAUACCAGCUAGUUAACUAUUUCGAUUAGCUUAUCCUGUCCCCCAUUCACUAGUUACCAAAAUAUUCCAAAAUAUGUCGAAUCCCCGUGUCCUACUCCUCGGCGGACAUGGCAAGAUAGCCCGCCUCUUAACCCCUCUCCUCCUCAACCGCUCCUGGGACGUAACCAGCGUGAUCCGCAACCCAGAUCAUACCAGCGACAUCCUGAAAUUGGGCCAGGGCAAGAAGGGCAAGGUCGAGGUGCUGGUCUCCAGUCUCGACGAUGUGAAGAGUGUCGAUGAUGCGAAGGCCAUCGUAGACCGCGCAAAGCCGGACUAUGUUGUUUGGGCGGCUGGCGCCGGCGGCAAAGGCGGACCCCUCCGCACCUACACCAUAGACCGCGACACAGCCAAACACUUCAUAACAGCAACCUUCACAAACCCCUCUAUCACCAAGGUGCUCCUGAUCUCCCAUAUCGGCAGCCGCCGCAAGCAGCCCCCCUGGCUCUCCGCAGACACCUGGGCCCGCUUCGAGCACAUCAACCAAGACGUCCUGCCGGACUAUUACCAGGCCAAACUGGCCGCGGACGAGUACUUCACCGCCAUGGCGCGCAAGCGCGCAGCCAUGGAUGACGAAGCGGAGGCGCGGGGCGGGGCUGCGGGGGAGGGGCCCAGGAAGCGGUUCCAGGCGAUAUUGCUGCGGCCGGGCCCGUUGAUGGAUGCGCCCGCGACGUGGAGGGUGGAGUUGGGGA